rnacentral:lncRNA from 10 species
CUAAUAAUAGAGCAAGCUUGAUUACUACCUUGGUGUCCUAAAACGGAUGUUGGCCUGCCAGGGAGCAGCCAAGGUGAAGUUUUCAACCAGGCCGACCAACUUCAGAGUCCACUGGCUUCAAAACAGUGCUUUACAUCCUCCUUCCAACAUUAUUCACAAGCCGAUCAAGACUGAGAGAGUCACAAGUGUGUGAAACCUGUAUUCUUUCUGACUUCAUUUUCCCUGGUAAGAUGGUUACUUG